rnacentral:lncRNA from 1 species
AGUUUAUGAGGAGCCAUCACAGUCUUUGGAGUCUUGUGGUGAAUAUGGAGGAGAGUUGAUGUUGUCAUCUGGAAAUAACAAUCAAACUAUCAAGGCAAAUUUGAGGGGGAUGGCAAUUAAAUCUAAGCUGUGGGUAGACCAACGCUAGUAGGAGGAUGAGGAAGACUAUGGUGAUGCGUAUGCUGGGAAUUCGAGUGAAGAGGAUGACCAAGAGCGUGAAGAUGAAGGUGUGCUCUCUAUUGGCUCACCAUCAGUACCUAAAAUUGGCAUGGAAUUCGAGUGAAGAGGAUGACCAAGAGCAUGAACAUGACGGUGUGAUCUCUAUUGGCUCACCAUCAGUACCUAAAAUUGGCAGCUCC